AUUGAACGCUGGCGGCAGGCCUAACACAUGCCAGUCGAACGGUAACAGGAAACAGCUUGCUGUUUCGCUGACGAGUGGCGGACGGGUGAGUAAUGUCUGGGAAACUGCCUGAUGGAGGGGGAUAACUACUGGAAACGGUAGCUAAUACCGCAUAACGUCGCAAGACCAAAGAGGGGGACCCUCGGGCCUCUUGCCAUCGGAUGUGCCCAGAUGGGAUUAGCUUGUUGGUGGGGUAACGGCUCACCAAGGCGACGAUCCCUAGCUGGUCUGAGAGGAUGACCAGCCACACUGGAACUGAGACACGGUCCAGACUCCUACGGGAGGCAGCAGUGGGGAAUAUUGCACAAUGGGCGCAAGCCUGAUGCAGCCAUGCCGCGUGUAUGAAGAAGGCCUUCGGGUUGUAAAGUACUUUCAGCGGGGAGGAAGGGAGUAAAGUUAAUACCUUUGCUUAUUGACGUUACCCGCAGAAGAAGCACCGGCUAACUCCGUG
rnacentral:rRNA from 1 species